GCGACCCCAGGAUGGGCGAGGCCACCCGCCGAGUUUAAGCAUAUCAAUAAGCGGAGGAGAAGAAA
rnacentral:ncRNA from 5 species